GGACAUGUCUGCUAAGUUUUAGACUGAAGAACUAGCCAACAAAGGGAACUAAGAGCCAAAAUUUGGCACUUAAAGGUGGCUGCCCAAAAUAUGUUUUGGGAUAAUUAAUUGAAGGUCCUUACAAUUGGAAAAUAAUCAUAAUUCAGCCUAACAACUUCUCUAUUGAAACUGUCCACUCUAUAGUUAUUUUUAGCUUGAAUUUGAA
rnacentral:lncRNA from 1 species